GAUGAACGCUGGCGGCGUGCUUAACACAUGCAAGUCGAACGGAAAGGCCCAAGCUUGCUUGGGUGCUCGAGUGGCGAACGGGUGAGUAACACGUGGGUGAUCUGCCCUGCACUUUGGGAUAAGCCUGGGAAACUGGGUCUAAUACCGGAUAGGACCAUCGUUUAGUGUCGGUGGUGGAAAGUUUUUCGGUGUGGGAUGAGCUCGCGGCCUAUCAGCUUGUUGGUGGGGUAAUGGCCUACCAAGGCGUCGACGGGUAGCCGGCCUGAGAGGGUGUACGGCCACAUUGGGACUGAGAUACGGCCCAGACUCCUACGGGAGGCAGCAGUGGGGAAUAUUGCACAAUGGGCGCGAGCCUGAUGCAGCGACGCCGCGUGGGGGAUGACGGCCUUCGGGUUGUAAACUCCUUUCGCCAAGGACGAAGCGUUUUGUGACGGUACUUGGAGAAGAAGCACCGGCUAACUACGUG
rnacentral:rRNA from 1 species